AAGAAAUAUAUAACUUUUUGUUAGAGACAUCUUUCACUGCAGUAACAACUUCCAGCAUUUUACAGUGUUGGGGUGCUUUACUGUAUGUCUAUUCUGGUUCCAGAUUUUCUCCUGGUUUUCAGGUUGGCUGGAGAAAUCUUGUGUAUUGCAAUAUUCCAAAUAUUGCCACAGAUUCUUAAAUAGAUUGUGAUUAGGAAUUUGACUGGGCCACGGUAGGACAUUCACUUAAUGUUUUUCAACUACUCCAAUCUUGCUUUGGUUUUGUGAAUGGGAUCAUUGUCCUGCUGAAAGAUGCAUUUCCUCCCAAGCUUAAUUUUUCUAGUGAACCUUCUCCGUUGAACCAGUUUAUUUAUCUGAAAUUAUUUAUCAACUGCAGUUCAUACAGGGGUUUCCAAGUAACUCUGAUUAAUUCAAUUUGAGCUACCUGUUAGUCAUAUCUGUGUAUGCAAAUGUUUCCAUUUGUACUAAAAACAGUAGCAGAAGCAACAUGUUGCAUACAAUCAUUACUGGUGCAUUUUAUGUUAUUUUCAGUUGCUUAUACUGAAAUUCAACACUACUGUUGUUUGCUCCUUGGGGUGUUUUUGUAAAAGCACUUUGUGACAACUGCUGUUGUAAAAAGGGCUUUAUAAAUACAUUUGAUUGAUUAUACAGUAGAUAAUACAUUCAAUAAGCUUAUAAAAAGCAUAUUUUAUGUUCCAAAUACCAUGUAUUGACUCUACUAGCUCUUAUUAUAUUGUCAAAAGUAACACCAUAAUGGGAACUUAAAUUUGCCACACUCGGACAGUCCUGUCUGGGUUAAGUUGCCAGCUUUUUUAAAUCCGAGGUUCGGGUAUCAUUUUUUCAAACUCUUUAAACUUUAUUCACUUCAAGGAAUUAUGCUGGCAAUGAAUAACUGAUCUGCACAAGAUUUUCAUUAAGCCAUCUUCCCGCUGUAGAUAGAUCUACAUGGCCUUUGCUAUUGCUGUAAACACUUAAAGGGUAGGCACCACUGACUUAAAAUGUAUGUCAUGUAUGUUAUUUGUAUUUUAACUGUGCUAAUAUGUUAACCAUUUUAAAAUAGAUCAACCAUCAAUCUGCCUGCUAUGGUCCUGGGUCAAUGGUAUCGUACAGUUUUCAUAGUACUAGGACAUUUGAGCUAAAAACCUAGUUACCUAAAACGUUGCCUCAAGUACAAUUAUAAUUUAGUAACAUUCUAGUAAUCUAACGACAGAGUAAUUAUAGUAAUAUUUUUUAACUGCAACAACUGGUGUUCUUCCUAACUUUUUGAAACAUCUGGCAGUUUGACCACUUUCACAACAGUUUAUUUAACACUUAUGAAACCGUAAAAAAUCUUCCUUCUCUGCUAUUCCAGUAUAAAGUCAGAAAACUUCUUCCACUCCCACAAGAAAGUUACUGCAUGCCCCAGGACGUGUGUACACAUUUUAAAUCAAGUUUUAUAUUGCAGUUAUCAGAGAUUUUGAUAUUUUGUGAUUUUUAAUGCUUCAGGUUUUAAUAAUGUUCAGUUGGCAUCUUGUGUCUUUGAUUGCACUCUUGGUGUUUUUGUUUUAGAUUUACUGUUGCUGGACCAUCUCAUCUUCAUUAUACUCUCAAAAAGGAUAUUAGUGUGAAUGUUUAUGAUUUUCAGUGCAGUGUGUGAAUGUACAAUUACCUAUCAUUUGUAUGUUUCAGAUUUUGUCAGCUUUACAUCUUGUAAAUGCAACUUUAGCUGCUAUUCUCUAUGUAGACCUUAUCCUCAUCCUAACCAACCGCCAAAACAAUAAAAGCC
ensembl:lncRNA